AGCUCCGGUGGCCUAGUGGUUAGAGCGUCUGCCUCAGAUGCGGGUGGUCGUGGGUUCGAUCCCUGGUCGAGUCA